rnacentral:lncRNA from 1 species
AUGCCGGCCGAUGACGCAACUAAUAAUAAUGGCAUGGCUUUGGAGCGCCCCACUCCAGUGACAAACAAUCGGGGUGAAGAAGAAGAAGAUUGCAUAGGAUGCUGCUUCCGGAUCCAAAGGAACAAUCGACAGACGUCACAAAGAUCCACCUCUGGCUGCAUCAGAAAAUUAUGCUCCUGGCGCCACCAGCGAGUGCACCCCGCUAAUGGGUCGGGGACAGGUACGUGGAGAUUUUCUCCUUCGGUGCAUGCAAGAAUAAUUUUUCUUUAGGGUCCCCUGUAUACGAAUGAACUCGGAAGUAUUUUGUGGUAUCCUUUGUGCGUGCGUGCGUGCGUGCGUGUGUGUCCAAGUUGAAACAUACUUAGUCAGGUGGUAGUGUUUAUAUACCUGUGGAAAUAAAACGACUUUGAAAUCUCA